rnacentral:tRNA from 3 species
UGGGGAGUCGCCAAGCUGGUCCAAGGCACCGGAUUUUGAUUCCGGCAUUCGUAGGUUCGAAUCCUACCUCCCCAGCCA